UACGUAGGGCGCAAGCGUUAUCCGGAAUUAUUGGGCGUAAAGAGCUCGUAGGCGGUUUGUCGCGUCUGCUGUGAAAACUCGGGGCUUAACCCCGGGCCUGCAGUGGGUACGGGCAGACUAGAGUGCGGUAGGGGAGACUGGAAUUCCUGGUGUAGCGGUGAAAUGCGCAGAUAUCAGGAGGAACACCGGUGGCGAAGGCGGGUCUCUGGGCCGAAAUUGACGCUGAGGAGCGAAAGCGUGGGGAGCAAACAGG
rnacentral:rRNA from 1 species